rnacentral:misc_RNA from 1 species
UCAAAAAGAUGGGUCGUUGGAU